rnacentral:rRNA from 1 species
UACGGGGGGGGCGAGCGUUGUUCGGAAUCACUGGGCGUAAAGGGCGCGUAGGCGGCCCGCACAAGUCUGCGGUGAAAACCCCCGGCUUAACCGGGGGCCGGCCGUGGAAACUGUCGGGCUGGAGGCUGGGAGAGGGCAGCGGAAUUCCCGGUGUAGCGGUGAAAUGCGUAGAGAUCGGGAGGAACACCGGCGGCGAAGGCGGCUGCCUGGACCAGUCCUGACGCUGAGGCGCGAAAGCUAGGGUAGCAAACGGG